AAAAAUUAGCACAAAAAAAAAGUAUUCAACAAUUAAAAAUUUAUCAAAUCUCUGUGUUAUAUAAGUUUUGAUACUAUAUUUGAAUAAAAUGUAAUAUACCUUUUUAAUUUGUAUUCUUUAACUAAUUUAAGCUAACUAAUAUAUUUGCUAAUCUUAUAUCUACCAAAACCGACUAUCGUUUCUUAUCUCUAUAGUAUUUUUGCAAGACUUUUUUAGUGGAUUUGGAUAAAAAUGCAUUCGAGUCAUAUGGUACAUUCCUCUAUUAAAUAAAUAUGGUGCACUCCUAUGUUAUUAGCUAAAAUGUUUAGAUUAUAAUUCAGAGUCAUAUCAUUAAUAAAACUAAUAUUAAUAAAAUAAAUGACUUUUUGGCAAGACGGAUUUGGAGGGACGGAUUUUUGAAUCAACAUUAAUAAAAAAAUAUAUUAAUCCACCGUUUCAAUAUGGGUUAAAUCUUUAAUUUAUUAUUUUUUAAGACCACUAAUAUUAAACAUAUCAAAUCAUCCUAAUUUAGAAAAAAUUAUAUAGAACCAAAAAUGUUAUGUGGUAUGUAUAAUGUUA
rnacentral:sRNA from 1 species